rnacentral:rRNA from 1 species
CGGAGGGGGCUAGCGUUGUUCGGAAUUACUGGGCGUAAAGCGCACGUAGGCGGAUCGGAAAGUUGGGGGUGAAAUCCCGGGGCUCAACCCCGCGAACGGCCUUCAAAACUACUGGUCUUGAGUUCGAGAGAGGUGAGUGGAAUUCCGAGUGUAGAGGUGAAAUUCGUAGAUAUUCGGAGGAACACCAGUGGCGAAGGCGGCUCACUGGCUCGAUACUGACGCUGAGGUGCGAAAGCGUGGGGAGCAAACAGGAUUAGAUA